rnacentral:rRNA from 1 species
CGACAAUGGGCGAGCUGACGCAGCACGCCGCGUGGAUGAUGAAGGCCUUCGGGACGUAAAGUCCUUUUGCAGAGGAAAAAAAAAAAGGGUUGGGGUGUGAGGUACUCUGCGUUUUCACCAGGGCGCCUCUGGGCGAACAAUCGCGGGGAACAUGUUCCCAACCUUUGGCAAAUUUACUGGGAUAAAACCCGUAUGGGUUCACAAAAGGGAUCCCCCGAAUAUUGGGUACCUUGUUAAACCAGGUCCAAUACUUUUGAAAUGGGCGGAGUUUCCGA